AUUGAACGCUGGCGGCAGGCCUAACACAUGCAAGUCGAACGAGUGGCGGACGGGUGAGUAAUGUCUGGGAAACUGCCUGAUGGAGGGGGAUAACUACUGGAAACGGUAGCUAAUACCGCAUACCAUCGGAUGUGCCCAGAUGGGAUUUGCUAGUAGGUGGGGUAAAGGUUCACCUAGGCGACGAUCCCUAGAUGGUAUGAGAGGAGGACCAUCCACAUUGGAAUGGAGCCACUGUCCAGACUCCUACGGGAGGCAGCAGUGGGGAAUAUUGCACAAGUGGAGCAAGCCUGAUGCCGCAAUGCCGCGUGUAUGAAGAAGGCCUUCGGGUUGUAAAGUACUUUCAGCGGGGAGGCGUUACCCGCAGAAGAAGCACCGGCUAACUCCGUGCCAGCAGCCGCGGUAAUUC
rnacentral:rRNA from 1 species